UACGUAGGGCGCAAGCGUUGUCCGGAAUUAUUGGGCGUAAAGAGCUCGUAGGCGGCUUGUCACGUCGGGUGUGAAAGCCCCGGGGCUUAACCCCGGGUCUGCAUUCGAUACGGGCUGGCUAGAGUGUGGUAGGGGAGAUCGGAAUUCCUGGUGUAGCGGUGAAAUGCGCAGAUAUCAGGAGGAACACCUAUAGCGAAGGCAGCUUGCUGGGACGUUACUGACGCUAAGGCGCGAAAGCGUGGGGAGCGAACAGG
rnacentral:rRNA from 1 species